rnacentral:lncRNA from 1 species
GCGGUCCCGUGUACGGUGCGAGGCACGCGCGGGGUCCGACUUUUGCAGCCGCGAUCAUUGCCUGUGAGAGGCCUCAGAAACUGCUGGCAGCCACCCAGCCGUUAGCCCUGAACAGGCCAGGGGAGCGUUUGAGAGCAGUGGUAGAAGCUUGAUGCAAGUGUCGGUAGUCUGAACAUCUUCACUGUUACUGUCUAAGCAGGCUUAGCUGCCUACUUCCCUGAAGACUGAAGAAAGUUGUCCAAGUUACUUUAAAAAUAAAGAAGUGCUGUGUUGUGUAGCCAUUUUAAGCCUUCUCAGAAACCAAUACGAAACGUUUAAAACGUCAUCACCAUCUUUAAACAAUCAUUACCUAUAAGAGAAGGUUUUAAUCACCAUAAUAACCCCCAGCAGCAGUACAGCAUGGACAGAUCCAGCUGAAGGCUGGCACCUUCCUGAUGUUUCGGCUAAUAAGCUACAGGAGAAGCUAGCCUGAAGAACUCCCAUAUCCUUUCCUGCAAGACUGAAGCACACUUAAGUAAUUCUGAGCAAAACACACCAAAUGCUUGUGGCUGCAGCUGCAAGAUCUGUGCUUGUAAGCAUGCAGCUUGUCAGGUAUCAUGCAUCUCAUGCAAAGUAGGUUAGAAAUAACUUAUCUUCAGUGACAGGCAAAACUGAGCAUGGUUAAGGUAAAGCAGCAAACUUGGAGAUGGUUACCACUUGAGAGGAGAUGUGCACAAGUUAACGUGGAGAUGAUCUGUCUCGUUUCCAUUUUCAGGAGUGAGAGUGCACAGAAAAUACAGAUGUUAGGAUUGGAACAUGAUGCAGCCAGACUGGUUGCUGUGGGAAGGCAGCAAGGCAGCCAGGUAGAGACUGCUUUUCCAUGGUAACAACCAAUAUUGCAUGCAUUUCUUGAGUUUCCAAGAGAGAGAAUCUUAACUGAGGGAAGCAGAAACAAUAAAAGAGCAGUAUCUGGAAAAUAAUUAUGAACAGAUACUAGAAAAAACAGGCAAACAUCUGAAGAAAUAUAAAGGAGCAGCAGAAAGGAAACAGAGUCCAUUAUAGAAUCAGAACAGGUGAGAGUAGUUGGCAAUAGAACUACAAGUCAUUAGAAAUAGCAAGAUGGUAUUUCUGUCUGCACUGAGUAACCCUUUGAAUCACAAAUAUAGGCCUCUCGCAAGGCAUGAUGCACAUUCUUGAUCUUUUCAACUGUAAUUAAGGUGUGUUUUUUU